GCGGGCGGGCGGUCGCCGCCUCUACCGCGAGCUGGCGGACGCUUGGAGGAACCUGUAAAGUGAACACGGUAGAACGAAGCAUCCUGGGUCAUCUUGCCUGACAGACUGUUUCUUGACCCCAGAGAGAGUCGAGGCCACCAAGGUUGUCGCCACUGGGACGGAGAGCCGGUGGGAACUUGGCCUACUGUUCUCUUGAUGCCUCGCUGGACUUUGGGGUCAACAGAAUGAACAGCAGAAAAUUUGGGAUGCUGGUGGAAUGACGCAGUGGAUGGAUCCUUACGAAUCAGCCUAUCAAGCUGGGAAAGAGCCACUUGAAUUUGUUAGUGUCGGAAGCGAUCCAUCAAGGCAAUCUUAGGAAGAGUUAAUUCUCCAGUUCCUCCCUGAGGUAUCUAAUUGCAGCACAUGGAGAUCCAGGUCAGUUAUGAAUCUCAAGAGCAUCACCAUCUGUCAGAUGGCAGUGACCUUGGGAUGACUCAGAAGGCAUCAUGGUGCUGGAAAGAAGUGACAGGAGU